UACGAAGGGGGCUAGCGUUGCUCGGAAUCACUGGGCGUAAAGCGCACGUAGGCGGAUCUUUAAGUCAGGGGUGAAAUCCCGAGGCUCAACCUCGGAACUGCCCUUGAUACUGGGGAUCUCGAGUCCGGAAGAGGUUGGUGGAACUCCGAGUGUAGAGGUGAAAUUCGUAGAUAUUCGGAAGAACACCAGUGGCGAAGGCGGCCAACUGGUCCGGCACUGACGCUGAGGUGCGAAAGCGUGGGGAGCAAAC
rnacentral:rRNA from 1 species